rnacentral:rRNA from 1 species
AGUGAACGCUGGCGGUAGGCCUAACACAUGCAAGUCGAACGGCAGCACAGGAGAGCUUGCUCUCUGGGUGGCGAGUGGCGGACGGGUGAGGAGUACAUCGGAAUCUACUCUGUCGUGGGGGAUAACGUAGGGAAACUUACGCUAAUACCGCAUACGACCUACGGGUGAAAGCAGGGGACCUGCGGGCCUUGCGCGAUGGAAUGAGCCGAUGUCGGAUUAUCUAGUUGGCGGGGUAAAGGCCCACCAAGGCGACGAUCCGUAGCUGGUCUGAGAGGAUGAUCAGCCACACUGGAACUGAGACACGGUCCAGACUCCUACGGGAGGCAGCAGUGGGGAAUAUUGGACAAUGGGCGCAAGCCUGAUCCAGCCAUACCGCGUGAGUGAAGAAGGCCUUCGGGUUGUAAAGCCCUUUUGUUGGGAAAGAAAUCCAGCUGGCUAAUACCCGGUUGGGAUGACGGUACCCAAAGAAUAAGCACCGGCUAACUUCGUGCCAGCCGCCGCCGUAA